ACAAGACAGAGUGAAGAUAAGGGAAGGAGGCUGGAAACUGAAGAAGAUGGCAACCUGGAAAUACCAAUAGACACAGACAAAAAGAAGCCCCAGCAAAAGCCUGCUCUCUCUAGCCAAAGGACCGGGAAAGGAGCACAAAUGACAUUUGGCUUCAAAACAUUAUAUCACUCCCACCAGCCCACUUUGCAGCUGGGUUUCCUGUAGAAUCUGUUUCAUAAAUGGAAUUCCAAGCUCACCAAAAUGGGCUCUACAUUAUUAUUCAACCAGUGGAAUUUUAGCCUCGUCAUAUCUUGGAGUGGAACAUGGAUUGAAUAUCAGUUGUAGAAAGAUUACAGUGACUUGGGAUCCAUUGUUUAACACAGCUUGACACAGCUCUUUAUCAAACUUCCUUGGAUCUUCACUUCUGGUCCCGUCAUCUUUGAAGUAUCACCAAGCAUGGUAGCAAGGGGAAGGGAAUUCUGGAGCAUCUCAUACUAGCAUUGAAAUGUUUUGGUUCUACUCCCAUUUACAACUUGUUGGCCUGAAUUACUCACCUGACCCCCUGCAAGUACAAUCUGACCAAGAUG
rnacentral:lncRNA from 1 species